AGGGCAGUCAUUGAAAGCAAACCAGACAUGGCCAAAUCAGCUCUUUUUUUGCAACAAAAGAAGAAGAAGAAGGAAGGAAGAAGAUAAGGAGAGAAUUGAGGGUUGUACCGCUAAAAUGGUGUUGCAGAAGUUGCAGUGAACAUAACAAACACGUUCAGAUGCCGAAUCCAGUGACAUUUUUGUUCCGACUUGUUCUCUCUCUCCUUUUUAAACACUAUAUACCCCACUAUAAGGCUAGAACAAAAGG